rnacentral:rRNA from 1 species
AUACGGAGGGUGCGAGCGUUGUUCGGAAUUAUUGGGCGUAAAGAGCAUGUAGGCGGUCUGUUAAGUCUGGUGUGAAAGCCCGGGGCUCAACCCCGGAAGUGCAUUGGAUACUGGCAGACUUGAGUAUGGGAGAGGAAAGCGGAAUUCCGAGUGUAGGAGUGAAAUCCGUAGAUAUUCGGAGGAACACCAGUGGCGAAGGCGGCUUUCUGGACCAAUACUGACGCUGAGAUGCGAAAGCGUGGGGAGCAAACAGGAUUAGAAACCCGAGUAGUCC